rnacentral:rRNA from 1 species
CGUAGGGUCCGAGCGUUGUCCGGAAUUAUUGGGGCGUAAAGAGCUCGUAGGCGGCGUGUCGCGUCUGCUGUGAAAGACCGGGGCUUAACUCCGGUUCUGCAGUGGAUACGGGCACGCUAGAGGUAGGUAGGGGAGACUGGAAUUCCUGGUGUAGCGGUGAAAUGCGCAGAUAUCAGGAGGAACACCGGUGGCGAAGGCGGGUCUCUGGGCCUUACCUGACGCUGAGGAGCGAAAGCAUGGGGGAGCGAACAGGAUU